UACGGAGGAUGCAAGCGUUAUCCGGAAUGAUUGGGCGUAAAGCGUCCGCAGGUGGCUGUGUAAGUCUGCUGUCAAAGAGCAAAGCUCAACUUUGUAAAGGCAGUGGAAACUACACGGCUAGAGUGCGUUCGGGGCAGAGGGAAUUCCUGGUGUAGCGGUGAAAUGCGUAGAGAUCGGGAGGAACACCCGUAGCGAAGGCGGCCGACUGGACCACACCUGACGCUGAGGCGCGAAGGCCAGGGGAGCGAACGGG
rnacentral:rRNA from 1 species